rnacentral:RNase_P_RNA from 1 species
AGAGUUGGCAGCGCAGUCGCCGCGUUUAAUACGGGGAGGAAAGUCCGGGCUCCAUAGGGCAGGGUGCCAGAUAACGUCUGGGAAGCGUGAGCUUACGACCAGUGCAGCAGAAAGUAUACCGCCGAUGUUUGGUUUUUCUAAACAGGUAAGGGUGAAAGGGUGUGGUAAGAGCGCACCGCGUGACAGGUAACUGUUAACGGCAUGGUAAACUCCACUCGGAGCAAGAUCAAAUAGGCUCUCGUUAAUGUUGUCCGCAUUGAGAGCGGGUAGAUUGCUUGAACCACAGAGUGAUUUGUGGUCUAGAUGAAUGACUGCUAUUCAUGUUUACAUGAAGAAACAGAACCCGGCUUACAUGCCAACUCUAACC